ensembl:lncRNA
UGAAAUUUAGUGUUUAAAUUAAGUGUGAUUCAAUGUUGUGAGCUUUGAAAUUAUGGAUGUAUGUCCAUUUAAAAGGGGUUACAAUUCAUAAUAUUUUGAUGACGGUAGUAUGAUAAACUACCGAAUAUAUACAUUUCAUCAAGCUCUUGACAUUUUUACUUUUUGGAAAAUACUAAUAUUAAUGGACCAAAAUACCAAAAAAUUGCAAAAUUGAUAAGUACAUGCAAAAAUUUCAUUUUAGCCUGUGAUGCCUGCUCCUAUCACGAGUGUAAAUUCCAAAACAGGGCUCGUAACCUGCAGCCUCGCCCAUCUGGUGGAGGGAGAGAGAGGAAGGGAGAGAGAGAGAGAGGUUUAACGUGUUAGUCAGGUUUCUCAAGCAGGGAAUCCCAAUGCAGUCAGAAUAUGUCAAUACGCCAGUGAGCUGUUAGCAGUGGAGAGAGGAAAUGUGUCACACCUUUCCGACUAUGUUUCCUCCUCACCUAGGCUACUUUCUUAUCUGUCUGUCAAUAAAGCAUAAAACAUACAGGAGAGUCACUGUCCUUUAAAAAGAAAGAGAGAUGAACCCCAGAUCUCCAACUCAUUUUCCUCAGCUUCAGAAGCAUCUACAUUCACCACAUCUUGUGUGGUUAUCCUUAGACAUAUUCUCCAGACCUUCACCAGGUCUCCUCAAGGCCUUCUUCACCAGGUCUCCUCAUGGCCUCCUUCACCAGGUCUCCUCAUGGCCUCAUUCACCCGGUCACCUCAUGGCCUCAUUCACCCGGUCUCCUCAUGGCCUCAUUCGCCAGGUCUCCUCAUGGCC